ACAUACCCGAAGAAAUAGUUAUGCCUCUACAAUGAGCAGAUUAAAAAAAAUUAUAUUAUGGAACCUAUCAAGAACAAACUUUGGGUAUUAAUGUCUUCUUUCCUUGGGGAAAGAUCCAUGAUGAGACAGAUUUCAUUUAAUAUUGUAAAGCAUAAAGAAGCCAAGGGAUCUUUUCAUCCUUCUUUAACUUUUAAAAAGUUCAGUAUGGUUAGAAAACUGUCAGUUUUCUGGAGAAAAGAAGUCUCUUUCUGCAUACUUUCUGGAUUGAUCUUGUGAUCUCAAAACUUUACUUGAUCACAUAGACAAUUCUGAGAAGGCUGAAGAAAAUUCUACUCUUCAAAGAGCUUGAAGAUCCCUGGUGGUGCAGUGGUUAGAAUGCAGUACUUGCAGGCUACUUCUGCUGACUCCUGGCUGGCAGCGGUUCGGCAGUUUGAAUCUCACCGGCUCAACAUUGACUCAGCCUCCCAUCCUUCCGAGUUCUGCAAUGAGUCAAACUUCCCUCUUCUUUGAGAUGGUAUGGCACUGGAAAACCUUUGACUAAAAACGAUUGUCACAAUGUCUGAAGAUCAUUUCAGGUAGACUGCUCCCAGUUCUGCUCCUCAGAAAAUUUGGAUGCCUCCCUAUCCUCCAAGAUCAUCAAGAACAGGGGUGUCAAACUGCUGGCCCGUGGGCUGGAUGUGUCACGCAGAAGCUGCACCCACUCCAUUGCCAGCAAAGGCAAAACUGUCCUGAUACGUUGCACAACGUCACGUGAAGUCGCGAGUUUGACAUGUUUGAUCAAGAACAAUAUAGUUCAGCACAAUUUUUAAGUCUUUCCAACUUAUGAUAGCAGACUGGCCUCCAAGUGAACCCAGAUUAAUGUAAAUAUUUGGCUUUUAUUGGGAGGAAAUGUGACAUGCGUUUGGGAUGGAAGCUAUCCAGAGACCGCAAGCUUAAAGCCAAGCUUUUGGAAAAAGCAGAUGUUGUGGUGGUCACUGCAAGAAAAUGAAGACAAUUCAUGUGCAUAGUCAACAUUUACUUGAUACAUUGCUAAACUGUGGAGUAAUGACAUAUUCCAAAGCGCAACUGGACUUCCUUGUUUUGUUUUUUGUUUUGAAAAUGUUUCACUUCUCAUCCAAGAAGUUUCUUUAGUUCUUCAGUAAUGAUAUAAGCCAUCUGUGACAGUGUACAAAGCUAUAAACCAAGAACUCAAUAAACUAU